rnacentral:rRNA from 1 species
GACGAACGCUGGCGGCAUGCUUAAAACAUGCAAGUCGAACGAAGUGGCGAACGGGUUAGUAAUACGUGGGUAACCUGCCCUCCUUUAUGGGAUACGGUUUGGAAACGGGGUCUAAUACCGCAUAAAGGGGGAUGGGAUCGCGGCCUAUCAGCUUGUUGGUGGGGUGAUGGCCUACCAAGGCGGUGCCUGGUAGCCGGCCGGAGAGGGUUACCGGCCACGUUGGGACGGGGGUACGGCCCAGAGUCCUACGGGGGGAAGCAGUGGGGGAUAUUGCAGAAUGGGCGAAAGCCUGAUGCUGCGACGCCGCGUGGGGGAUGAAGGCUUUCGGGUUGUAAACCUCUUUCGCUACCGAACGGGUAGGUGGAGAAGAAGCGCCGGCUAACUACGUGCCAGCAGCCGCGGUAAUAC